AAUAAUUAUUCUAGAAAGAGAUUCGAAAGUGGUUAAAUUGAAGUGGAGAAUUCGUAUUCUGAGUGGACGUAGAGUUUCUGUGAGUUGGAGAAGCAGCUCCGAAUCUCGACCUUUUCCUUUCCUUUCUGGUUUUGCAGGUAUCAGUUGCUCCUUUUAUCCAAUGGAAGUGUUUGACAACUUCAUCCUCUCUGUGUGGUGUCAUAGCAAUCAGCAUUGCUUGCAAUCGAUCAAAGAGCAGCUGAGCUGUGCUAGGGAGUCAGCAUCGUUCCUUUUGGGUUUAAUCAGUGUCAUUGUUUGGGUUGUUGCUGAGAUACCUCAAAUAAUCACAAACUAUAGAACAAAGUCUACUGAGGGUCUCUCUCUCACUUUCUUGGUCACAUGGAUAAUUGGAGAUGUAUUCAACCUCCUUGGAUGCCUGCUGGAACCUGCAACU